rnacentral:lncRNA from 1 species
AAUAAAAUUUUUUUCUCAUAAUUAUUAGAUAGCAACAAAGUGAUAAUGAAGUCCUGAACAGUGAAGGCAUGUUCUCAAAGCAGGGCUCCAAACAGAUGGCAGAGAGGAAGCAUGUUACAAUGGAGGGAAAUUUGCAAUGUUUGAAGCCUGCCCGGAUAUCAGAGUGUGGAUCUCUGAAAGGAAGGGACUGUUCACCAUUGCGAAACAGAUUCCCCAGGAACAUGGAGCUCCCACUCGGCAUACAAGAAAAAGUUCUCAUGGACCUCCUUCACUUUGUCCAUUCUGCUUACACAGCUUCUGGUCACAAAAUCGUGUGCACUUAAGAAAAGCAGCCCUGACUGGUGAGUGUGAGAGAGCAUGCACCAUCCAACAAUGCAAUUGUGACUCCA